rnacentral:rRNA from 1 species
UACAGAGGUGGCAAGCGUUGUUCGGAAUUACUGGGCGUAAAGGGCGCGUAGGCGGCCUUUCUAAGUCAGACGUGAAAUCCCCAGGCUUAACUUGGGAACUGCGUCUGAUACUGGGAGGCUUGAGUGCGGGAGAGGAAUGUGGAAUUCCAGGUGUAGCGGUGAAAUGCGUAGAUAUCGGGAGGAACACCAAUGGCGAAGGCAGCUUGCUGGGACGGUACUGACGCUGAGACGCGAAAGCGUGGGGGAGCAAAC